UUGACCUCGGAUCAGGUAGGGAUACCCGCUGAACUUAAGCAUAUCAAUAAGCGGAGGAAAAGAAACCAACAGGGAUUGCUCUAGUAACGGCGAGUGAAGCAGCAAUAGCUCAAAUUUGAAAUCUGGCGUCUUCGGCGUCCGAGUUGUAAUUUGUAGAGGAUGCUUCUGGGCAGCCACCGACCUAAGUUCCUUGGAACAGGACGUCAUAGAGGGUGAGAAUCCCGUAUGCGGUCGGAAAGGCACCCUACACGUAGCUCCUUCGACGAGUCGAGUUGUUUGGGAAUGCAGCUCUAAAUGGGAGGUAAAUUUCUUCUAAAGCUAAAUAUUGGCCAGAGACCGAUAGCGCACAAGUAGAGUGAUCGAAAGAUGAAAAGCACUUUGGAAAGAGAGUUAAAAAGCACGUGAAAUUGUUGAAAGGGAAGGGAUUGCAACCAGACUUGCUCGCGGUGUUCCGCCGGUCUUCUGACCGGUUUACUCGCCGCGUUGCAGGCCAGCAUCGUCUGGUGCCGCUGGAUAAGACUGGAGGAAUGUAGCUCCCUCGGGAGUGUUAUAGCCUCUAGUGAUGCAGCGAGCGCCGGGCGAGGUCCGCGCUCGGCUAGGAUGCUG
rnacentral:rRNA from 1 species